rnacentral:rRNA from 1 species
AAGGUACGGGAGGCAGCAGUGAGGAAUAUUGGUCAAUGGACGAGAGUCUGAACCAGCCAAGUAGCGUGUAGGAUGACGGCCCUAUGGGUUGUAAACUGCUUUUAUGCGGGGAUAAAGUGAGGGACGUGUCCCUCAUUGCAGGUACCGCAUGAAUAAGGACCGGCUAAUUCCGUGCCAGCAGCCGCGGUAAUCCUU